rnacentral:rRNA from 1 species
AUUGAACGCUGGCGGCAGGCUUAACACAUGCAAGUCGAGCGAGCGGCGGACGGGUGAGUAAUGUCUGGGAAACUGCCUGAUGGAGGGGGAUAACUACUGGAAACGGUAGCUAAUACCGCAUACCAUCAGAUGGGCCCAGAUGGGAUUAGCUAUUAGGAGGGGUAAUGGCUCACCUAGGCGACGAUCCCUAGCUGGUCCGAGAGGAUGACCAGCCACAAUAGAACAGAGACACGAUCCAGACUACUACGGGAGGCAGCAGUGGGGACUAUUGCACAAGGGGCGCAAGCCUGAUGCAGCCAUGCCGAGUGUGUGAAGAAGGCCUUCGGGUUAUAAAGCACUUUAAGCGAGGAGGCGUUACUCGCAGAAGAAGCACCGGCUAACUCCGUGCCGGCAGCCGCGGUAAUAC